GGGGUAGUAGCUCAGAUUGGUUAGAGUAACGGCCUGUCACGCCGUGGGUCGCGAGUUCGAGUCUCGUCUGCCCCGCCA
rnacentral:tRNA from 1 species